UACGUAGGGGGCUAGCGUUGUCCGGAAUCAUUGGGCGUAAAGCGCGUGUAGGCGGCUCGGUAAGUCCGCUCUGAAAGUCCAGGGCUCAACCCUGGGAUGCGGGUGGAUACUGCCGGGCUCGAGUCCGGAAGAGGCGAGUGGAAUUCCCGGUGUAGCGGUGAAAUGCGCAGAUAUCGGGAGGAACACCAAUGGCGAAGGCAGCUCGCUGGGACGUGACUGACGCUGAGACGCGAAAGCGUGGGGAGCGAACAGG
rnacentral:rRNA from 1 species